rnacentral:ncRNA from 1 species
UAAAACACAAUGAAGGGGAACAAGUACUUUAAAAACCUUACAGAGAGUUGGUGGCUGGUGUGAACCAACAUGGAUUUUUUAAAGGAAAUUCCGCCCUAGAGUGGAGUGCGAUGAGCACAACCGGCUGCACGACCGUUAUAGUGUAUUAAGAGGAGUAAUGAUUUUUUCAUUAUUCAAUUUGGGUGGCAACGCGGGUUUUUUAAGCUCGUCCCUGUA